GUCAGUAUGUCCGAGUGGUUAAGGAGAUAGACUUGAAAUCUAUUGGGCUCUGCCCGCGCAGGUUCAAGUCCUGCUGCUGACG
rnacentral:tRNA from 3 species